rnacentral:rRNA from 1 species
GACAGAGGUGCCAAGCGUUAGGCGGAAUCACUGGGCUUAAAGCGUGUGUAGGCGGAUUGGUAAGUACCUUGUGAAAUCCCACGGCUCAACCGUGGAACUGCUUGGUAUACUGCUUAUCUUGAGCCACUUAGGGGCUACCGGAACAAAUGGUGGAGCGGUGAAAUGCGUAGAUAUCAUUUGGAACGCCAAUGGUGAAAACAGGUAGCUGGGAGUGUGCUGACGCUGAGACACGAAAGCCAGGGGAGCGAACGGG